AACGAACGCUGGCGGUGUGCCUAACACAUGCAAGUCGAACGGAGAUAAGAAGCUUGCUUCUUAUUAUAGUGGCGCACGGGUGAGUAACGCGUGGAUAAUCUACCUGAUGCUCUGGGAUAACAUCUCGAAAGGGGUGCUAAUACCGGAUAAGCCCACGAUCUCUUCGGAGAAUGCGGGAAAAGGAGGGGACCUUCGGGCCUUCCGACGUCAGAUGAGUCCGCGUCCCAUUAGCUAGUUGGCGGGGUAAUGGCCCACCAAGGCUACGAUGGGUAGCUGGUCGGAGAGGAUGAUCAGGCCCAGUGAAACGGAGACGCGGUCCAGAAUACGACGGGAGGAAGAGGUGAGGAAUUUGGGGCAAUGGGGGAAACCCGGACGCAGCAACGCCGCGUGAGUGAUGAAGGCUUUCGGGUCGUAAAGCUCUGUCAGAAGGAAAGAAAUGUGGGCGGAAAUACCUGUUCCACUUGACGGUACCCUCAAAGGAAGCACCGGCUAACUCCGUGCCAGCCGCCGCUGUAACAC
rnacentral:rRNA from 1 species